GGUCCAUAGCUCAGUGGCAGAGCAUUUUCCUUGCAUCCAGAAGGUCCCAGGUUCAAUCCCUGGCAACUCCA
rnacentral:tRNA from 1 species